AAAAGAAACUCUCAGCAUGUCCAGCUUUGUUUGCCCUGGACCUAACUGUUAAAAAUAUCCAUCAAUGGAAAACCAGAGUUGAAAUCAUUACCCAAGUCUUCCCAGCAGGGCUGGAUGGGCUGUGGCACAGCAGCACACCUACCAUAAAACUUCAGGAAAAACUCCCUUGUAGUUAAACUGUCUGCUGGAGCAUCAAGAAGCUGAAGAGGCUCAAGGAGCCAGAAACUUUGCUUACAAGCACUAUUGAAGUCCUUAGUAAAAAUGCAACCUAAGGACAAUUGUAUUUCUACAAUGAAGGUUUUUUCUAAAUACUUCACAUUGAAAGGUCAAGGUUUCCAAAAGUACAAUGACUAGCUGUUUACCUAUGAUACUUCCGGGAACAUGUUCUAACCUCAAACUGUGGGUGGCAAUGUGGGAAAGAUGCUGUCCGUGCCCUAGUGUGAACCUUGAAACAUGCCUAGAGAGCUUCUGAAACUGCCAAAAAGAAAUAAAUAGACAUAGCAUCCCUUCAAAUCUCAACUUGAAAACAACACUGUAAAUCUUUGAAUUAAAAAAUUUCAGUAUGUUUUAUGUCAUUUGACAGAUACUAGAAAGAGAGCUUAAGGUGAUUAAAUAAGAAAAAUUUAUUUGAGGCAAAUCACAGAUUUAAAUAUGAAAGCAAAACCAAUCAAGCUUCUAGAAGAAAAUAGAGACUAUUUUCCUAACCUCGGGGUAAACAAAGAUUUCUUGAAAAGAGCAUAAAAAGAGUUAAUCAUAAAAGAAAAAAAGCAAUAACAACAUUUCUCUUUAGUAUUAAGAAUUUUCUGUCCAUCAAAAGACAUCACUAAGAGAGUUAAAAGGCAAACUAAAGUCAGAGAAGAUAUUUACAAUACAUGUAUGUAACUAAGAACUCCUAUUCCAUGGUGAUGAAAGACUCUUACAAUAAUGUUUUAAAAGUCAAAACCAAAAUUCUAAGUGAUCAAGACUUGAGCAGGCACUUCAUAAAGGAAAAUACCCAAAUGGCCCAAAUACCAAAUGUGUGUAAAGAGGUGCUCAAUGUCAUUAGUGAUUCAGAACAUGGAACUUAAAAAUCACAGUGAUUUACCACUACUCACCCACUAGAAUGGCUAAAAUAAAAGAUCAACAGUACCAACUGUGGGAGAAGAUGGAGCAGUUGGAACCCCCAUGUCCUAUUGGUGGGAAAUGUAAAUUAGUUCAAACAUCUUCAUGGGUGACCCCUAUGAAGAUGGAGAGUCCUGAGACAGAAGAAGAUGCCUAGUGGCAGUUAUAAAAAUAAAGUGAACUGGUUGGUGUCACUGGGGCCUCCUGCUGGCCUUAUCCAAUCUUUCUCUCCUUGUUGCAUGUUUUCUUUCUUUCAUUCCUGUGGGUUUAGAUCUCUAAGUCUGGGACCGCUGAUCUGGUUCCACCAUCAACACCACCCCAGUUCCAACAAUUUUUAUUCCUUCAAGGGUAAAAACAAAUAAAUAGAAAGUAGUAUUAAAAGAUGUACUCCUUAUUGCUGCAAAAUGCAUGCCUAAGUAGCCCUUUCUCAUGCUGAUACAGUUUUCUUUGUCAAAAGAUGCUAUAGACUGAAAGGUAGUCUUUUACUGUAAUUAUUCUUUAUUAAGCAUGAAUGCUUGUGAUUAUCAUCUAAUUUAGUAAA